rnacentral:rRNA from 1 species
AGAGCGAACGCUGGCGGCAGGCUUAACACAUGCAAGUCGAGCGGGCGUAGCAAUACGUCAGCGGCAGACGGGUGAGUAACGCGUGGGAACAUACCUUUUGGUUCGGAACAACCCAGGGAAACUUGGGCUAAUACCGGAUAAGCCCUUACGGGGAAAGAUUUAUCGCCGAAAGAUUGGCCCGCGUCUGAUUAGCUAGUUGGUGAGGUAACGGCUCACCAAGGCGACGAUCAGUAGCUGGUCUGAGAGGAUGAUCAGCCACAUUGGGACUGAGACACGGCCCAAACUCCUACGGGAGGCAGCAGUGGGGAAUAUUGGACAAUGGGCGCAAGCCUGAUCCAGCCAUGCCGCGUGAGUGAUGAAGGCCCUAGGGUUGUAAAGCUCUUUUGUGCGGGAAGAUAAAUGACGGUACCGCAAGAAUAAGCCCGGCUAACUUCGCGCCAGCAGCCGC